rnacentral:lncRNA from 1 species
UCUGCUUACAGAGGGUAUGGUAUGAUGAGCGUAUGUCAGAAUGACUGUACUUGAGAGACGGGCAGCAGAGCUUAUGGAUAGGAUUGCUGGACUAGAAUGUGUAAAGCUUUAGUUUGAACCACAGAACUGAAGAAAAAGUAUCCUUAGGCAAGUGCGAUACAUACUUGGAGCCCUAGCUAUGUAUUUAGAAGGCUGAAGCAGGAAAAUUAAUUGAGGCCAGAUGUUAGCAACCAGCCCAAGCAACAUAAUGAGACCCUUCCUCUUACAUUUGCUCUGUUGAAUGUGAUUGUGUAGGAACCGUGAAGAACAGAAUUUGGUGGCUUAUCCCCAUGAUGGAAAAAUCUAUUUCUGUACCUCACAAGACAUCCCUCCUGAAAACGAGCUGCUUUUCUAUUAUAGCCGGGAUUAUGCUCAACAGAUAGGUGUUCCUGAACACCCCGAUGUGCACCUCUGUAACUGUGGCAAGGAGUGCAGUUCCUAUUCAGAGUUCAAAGCUCACCUGACCAGCCAUAUCCACAAUCAUCUCCCUAGCCAGGGCCACAGCAGCAGCCAUGGGCCAAGCCACAGCAAGGAAAGGAAGUGGAAGUGCUCCAUGUGCCCCCAGGCCUUUAUUUCUCCUUCUAAACUCCACGUUCACUUUAUGGGUCAUAUGGGCAUGAAGCCCCACAAGUGUGAUUUUUGUAGCAAGGCUUUUAGUGAUCCAAGCAACCUACGGACACACCUCAAAAUACAUACAG